GCCCUCGUAGUUCAACGGAUAGAACAGCACAGUCCUAACGUGCUAAUAGAGGUUCAAUUCCUCUCGAGGGCGCCA
rnacentral:tRNA from 1 species